rnacentral:rRNA from 1 species
UACGGGGGGGGCUAGCGUUGUUCGGAAUUACUGGGCGUAAAGGGCGCGUAGGCGGUCUGCUAAGUUGGAUGUGAAAACUCUGGGCUUAACCCAGAGCCUGCAUUCAAUACUGACAGGCUAGAGUUCUGGAGGGGAUAGCGGAAUUCCUGGUGUAGCGGUGAAAUGCGUAGAGAUCGGGAGGAACAUCCGUGGCGAAGGCGGCCAUCUGGAUCAACACUGACGCUGAGGCACGAAAGCGUGGGGAGCAAACAGG